rnacentral:rRNA from 1 species
ACGUAGGGUGCGAGCGUUAAUCGGAAUUACUGGGCGUAAAGCGUGCGCAGGCGGUUAUGCAAGACAGAUGUGAAAUCCCCGGGCUCAACCUGGGAACUGCAUUUGUGACUGCAUGGCUAGAGUACGGUAGAGGGGGAUGGAAUUCCGCGUGUAGCAGUGAAAUGCGUAGAUAUGCGGAGGAACACCGAUGGCGAAGGCAAUCCCCUGGACCUGUACUGACGCUCAUGCACGAAAGCGUGGGGAGCAAACAGG